rnacentral:pre_miRNA from 1 species
AAAUGUUUGUAUGUGGAUGGUGUUAAGCACGAGGGACCGAUCUGUUUGACUGUGUAUGGAUGAUAUUCAGCACCAAGGACAGGUAUGAUUGUGC